ensembl:lncRNA
CCACCAAGGAAACGUACCAGAAUGAAUACACGUGCCGAGGGGCCCGACUCCAGCGUCCAACAUAUUCAGCGCUCAGUGAAGCUUUUAUAGCAAACAACCUUGUUCUGAAACGGAAAAUCCUUCUCUCCAUUUCGGGCUGUUUGGUUGUCGGCAUUGUCCUUAUUGUGCUGAGCUGUAUCAUUCUGAAGGUGACCCGGAAGCCAGUAGAAGAGAGCAAAACGGAACCAGACUUGUUUUUCACCAUGGCUGAACUAAAGACACAUAAGUGCCAAGAACAUUUCUCCUAUUUAUAAUUUUGUCAGCACGUUAAAGGACAUGGACACAAA